rnacentral:rRNA from 1 species
GAGGGCUUAACUGUCUCCUGUAGCCAAUCAAUGAAAUUGAUCUCACAGUACAAAUGCUGUGAUACAACUAUAAGACGAGAAGACCCUGUGGAGCUUUAAACCUUCCACAUUAACUAAUUAUCCUCAACUACCAUUAGUAUAACGUGAGUUUUAAGUUGGGGCGACUAUGGAGUAAAAAUUAACCUCCAAGUAAUACGAUUAAACCUCGUUACACACGGCUAACAAGCCCAGUCAAAACACACGACCCAGUAAAACUGACUAUCGAACCAAGUUACCCCAGGGAUAACAGCGCCAUCCCCUUAAAGAGUCCACAUCG